rnacentral:rRNA from 1 species
UACAGAGGGGGCAAGCGUUAUUCGGAAUUAUUGGGCGUAAAGGGCGCGUAGGCGGCUUUUCAAGUGACGGGUGAAAUCCCUCGGCUUAACCGAGGAACUGCCUGUCAGACUGGAAGGCUUGAGACCGGGAGAGGUGAGUGGAAUUCCCAGUGUAGCGGUGAAAUGCGUAGAUAUUGGGAGGAACACCAGUGGCGAAGGCGGCUCACUGGACCGGAACUGACGCUGAGGCGCGCAAGCGUGGGGAGCAAACAGG